AAACCGGAGACCUCUUAUGGUCUCAAAAACCUGUAUCUAUCUUAGAUACUAACCUGGGUUACCAAGAACCCCUAUAUAUAUUUAGACCAAAUGUCUAAUAAACCGGAGACCUCUUAUAGUCUCAAUAUAACUAGAGUCCUUACACCUUUCCUAUCUACUGGAUACAGUCUUACUGAACCAAACGGGGGUCAUAGACAAUCAGCGUCAAUAAGACACAAAAAGGCUACUCACCGCAAUGGUUUUGCUGAUCCAUCCAUCCCACUUCUAGACACCAAGCUGAAAGGGUUAAUGUUGUAAUGGACUCUAAUCCCCUCGGUUCUCGAUCCCUCGGUCACCAUAAUCAACGUUGAUGGAGAAUCAUUGUAAGCACUAACACACGGACAACAGCUUUACAAGACUCUCAAAUGAGUGUAUUCCAGAGCUGGCUUUUAUACAUAGUUUGCUUACAUUAGCCAUGGUAUAUGC